AGUGAACGCUGGCGGUAGGCCUAACACAUGCGAGUCGAACGGCAGCACAGUAAGAGCUUGCUCUUACGGGUCGCGAGUGGCGGACGGGUGAGGAAUACAUCGGAAUCUACUUUUUCGUGGGGGAUAACGUAGGGAAACUUACGCUAAUACCGCAUACGACCUACGGGUGAAAGCAGGGGAUCUUCGGACCUUGCGCGAUUGAAUGAGCCGAUGUCGGAUUAGCUAGUUGGCGGGGUAAAGGCCCACCAAGGCGACGAUCCGUAGCUGGUCUGAGAGGAUGAUCAGCCACACUGGAACUGAGACACGGUCCAGACUCCUACGGGAGGCAGCAGUGGGGAAUAUUGGACAAUGGGCGCAAGCCUGAUCCAGCCAUACCGCGUGGGUGAAGAAGGCCUUCGGGUUGUAAAGCCCUUUUGUUGGGAAAGAAAAGCAGCAGGUUAAUACCCCGCUGUUCUGACGGUACCCAAAGAAUAAGCACCGGCUAACUUCGUG
rnacentral:rRNA from 1 species